UCUGUGUUAAGUACAAAUGCCAUCUUCUAUAAAGAUGGAUUCUAUAGAUUAACUGAGAAAACAAGUUUGAGAUAAGGGUCUGGGUGAGGAGCUGGUGUAUUCUCUGCCACAUAGGUAGCCCAAAGGUCACCAGGCUAUUAAUGACAUCCAUUCCCACCUUUCUGGGCAGAAAACUAGUUAUAGCCUGUUUUAAGGUCAAUAGAAGUCCAUAGCGGCCGGGAGAAUCCUGAUCUUCCAGCUCAAUUGAAGGUUUGCUGUGGCUCCUGUCAGGAGUGCUCCCCAAUAUGAUGCCAACACUUCCAGGCCAGCAAAACUUAAGGUUGUGGGAACAGGAAGGAAAAGUUUUCCUAGGGAGUCACUAGGGUGUAAUGAGUACAUAUUGCCUUUUCCAUCCUGCCUUGACUCCUGGACCCAUGGAUCCUGGCUAUGGGAGAAACUGUACCAUGUACUGGAUGCUGAUUCAAAGCAUAUAGCACCUUCUAGAGAAACCUGCCUCAGCCCUCCAUGCUGCUGCCAUCUAAUUGACACUGCAACUAUUUCUACAAAAGACCAUCCCAUCUUUCAUCAGGCCAGCUCCCUCGGGAUAGUGGAGAACAGGACUCCAGGGAGCUCAUUCAAGUUCAUCUAGAAGACCGUUUUGUGUCUUCCUCCUCCUCUUCAGUGAUCUACAGCUGCCACCACAGCAUGGAGUUCCUGUCCUCUGAGCCGAGCGCCCGUGGCUGUUGCCCCAUGGCCAUAUUGGACUAUCCAUUGUCUAUCCCUGCCACGAUGCUCACCCGCCACCCAGAUCUGGGUUCCCAGGGGCCCUAUCUGUGCUUAUUUCUCUUCUAGAAAUGGCCCUCUGCUCUACAGCCCUCCUCCUCAAAGCCCCAGCCCUGAGUCUUCUUUGUGCCCUGAACAGAAGCAGCCCUGUGGUAUUCUGUGGCCCCCACCCCCCACAGCACUUGGUGUCUCGCUUCUGGCUCUUGCCUCUCCGGCAGGUAUAGCUGCAGCCAACUGUGUACUGUGUUGCUUCCCUCUAGACUGUGAGCUCCUCGCGGGCAGGGACCAUAUGGUCACUCUGUAUCUCUUGUGGCACCUAACAGUGCCUUCCUUGCACUUGGUAGGUGCUCAAUACAUGUCUGUUCAAGUGAA